GACAGAGGAUGCAAGCGUUAUCCGGAAUGAUUGGGCGUAAAGGGUGCGUAGGCGGCGCGGUAAGUCGGGUGUGAAAUCUCGGGGCUUAACUCCGAAACUGCAUUCGAUACUGCCGUGCUUGAGGACUGGAGAGGAGACUGGAAUUUACGGUGUAGCGGUGAAAUGCGUAGAUAUCGUAAGGAAGACCAGUGGCGAAGGCGGGUCUCUGGACAGUUCCUGACGCUGAGGCGCGACAGCGUGGGGAGCAAACAGG
rnacentral:rRNA from 1 species